AGGUGCUGCAUGGCUGUCGUCAGCUCGUGUNGUGAGAUGUUGGGUUAAGUCCCGUAACGAGCGCAACCCUUGUCCUUAGUUACCAGCACGUAAUGGUGGGCACUCUAAGGAGACUGCCGGUGACAAACCGGAGGAAGGUGGGGAUGACGUCAAGUCAUCAUGGCCCUUACGGCCUGGGCUACACACGUGCUACAAUGGUCGGUACAGAGGG
rnacentral:rRNA from 1 species